rnacentral:lncRNA from 11 species
CUCGAUGAUGUGGAGCCUUGGGAGUUGUGGUUUUACAAAGAUACUAGCUUUCUUUGCCAAAGAGUGCUGGUGCCCCACCAAACUAUAACUCCCGGGAACCCUUAGCAUUGAUCCAGUGUAGAUGCAUGCCUAGAGAAGCCUCCCUUGCACGUCGGGAGGAAGCAAGAAAAGCAGCCUGAAACCCAACCCCGAAGGUGUGGCUUCUGAAACAAUCCCGGAAAGGGGAUCCUGGGAGUUGUAGUUUCGAGGCAGGCGGAGACUACAAUCCCAGGAAGCCUUGGAAAAGGCAGCCACUUCCUGGAGAAACCGAGAGCUGCGGAGCCAAGAAGGAGGCGAAGAGGAUCUUUGGGGUUUUGCAAAUUUGGGUGCUUUUUUCGUGGGGUUUGGUUGCCAAGAUUGGUCCAUUGCCUUUCUCUGAGGCUGAGAGAGUGUGACUCGCCCAAGAUGGGUUUCCAUGACUGA